rnacentral:rRNA from 1 species
GAUGAACGCUGGCGGCGUGCCUAAUACAUGCAAGUCGAGCGAACAGACGAGGAGCUUGCUCCUCUGACGUUAGCGGCGGACGGGUGAGUAACACGUGGAUAACCUACCUAUAAGACUGGGAUAACUUCGGGAAACCGGAGCUAAUACCGGAUAAUAUAUUGAACCGCAUGGUUCAAUAGUGAAAGACGGUGUUGCUGUCACUUAUAGAUGGAUCCGCGCCGCAUUAGCUAGUUGGUAAGGUAACGGCUUACCAAGGCGACGAUGCGUAGCCGACCUGAGAGAGUGAUCGGCCACACUGGAACUGGGACACGGUCCAGACUCCUACGGGAGGCAGCAGUAGGGAAUCUUCCGCAAUGGGCGAAAGCCUGACGGAGCAACGCCGCGUGAGUGAUGAAGGUCUUCGGAUCGUAAAACUCUGUUAUUAGGGAAGAACAAAUGUGUAAGUAACUAUGCACGUCUUGACGGUACCUAAUCAGAAAGCCACGGCUAACUACGUG